CAGCAGCCGCGGUAAUACGAAGGGGGCUAGCGUUGUUCGGAUUUACUGGGCGUAAAGGGCGCGUAGGCGGACUGAUAAGUCAGGGGUGAAAUCCCAAGGCUCAACCUUGGAACUGCCUUUGAUACUGUUUGUCUUGAGUUCGAGAGAGGUAAGUGGAACCGCGAGUGUAGAGGUGAAAUUCGUAGAUAUUCGCAAGAACACCAGUGGCGAAGGCGGCUUACUGGCUCGAAACUGACGCUGGGGCGCGAAAGCGUGGGGAGCAAACAGGAUUAGAUACCCCUGUAGUCCCUGUCUCUUAUAC
rnacentral:rRNA from 1 species